CACGUAGGGCGCAAGCGUUGUCCGGAAUUAUUGGGCGUAAAGAGCUCGUAGGCGGUCUGUUACGUCUGCUGUGAAAACCCGGGGCUUAACCCUGGGCUUGCAGUGGAUACGGGCAGACUAGAGGCAGGUAGGGGAGAAUGGAAUUUCCGGUGGAGCGGUGAAAUGCGUAGAGAUCGGAAAGAACACCAACGGCGAAAGCACUCUGCUGGGCCGACACUGACACUGAGAGACGAAAGCUAGGGGAGCGAAUGGG
rnacentral:rRNA from 1 species